GAGCAACGAGACUAGAGCUCUCGGCAAUAGAAGCACGUCCACAAUGAUCCAUGACGACGACCAGCGUCUGCAAAUCCUUGCCCUGAGGAGAGCUACCAAGGCAACGGAUCGGAGGACGACUAAACAAGCAAUCGCGUGGGUGUGGGACGGGCUCGUGGAUAAGAGAAGAGCCGGCGAUGGGGCGGAUCCAAGGAGUCCCUGCGAUGGCAUGGCGAAUCUGGGACACUGAGGAAGACCUCGCCAGGCGAGCCCCAGCGACAACCAGUAUACGAACCAUCGAUCAAGCUGACGUAACAACGAAACACAAGGUUAGGUAAACCAAGAGGGCAGAAAUGAAGAUUUGCUAAUCUUCGUCGACCAGGAUUUAGGGUUUGGGUGGUACCUAUUGCAGCCGCCGCCCACAGAAGACAGAAGGUGAAGAACCGACCGGUGGAUUAGGGCACCACGGCCGGGAUGAGGGCGGUAUUUAUAUAGUACGAGCGCCAUUCAGCGAUUGGUUGGGCCGUGAUCGCACAGGCCGAAGAAGGCGGAUCGAGCCAGUCACGAAACUGGGCAGAUGCGGGAUGAGCACGAAGUCAGCUAAUCCGCGACAGGCCCGCCGUUAAGAAGCCCAUCGGACCGUCAGAUCGAGCAGAUCUAGCCCAAGGCUAGUUUGCCCAGCCCAGGACGAGGACAAAGUCGAUCCAGGAUGAGCACGAAGUCAGCUAAUCCACAAGAGGCCUGCCAUGAAAAAGCCGAUUGGCCCGUAAGAUCGAGCAGAUCCAGCCCUAGAAGACUUUGCCCAGCACAGGUCGAGCACAAAAAGCGAACAACCAGAUCGAGCCCAUCAAUAGAUCGAGAGCAGGACGAGCAGGAUGUCACAUGCCGAAAGAUCGUUGAAGCCUGGUUAGGCAUUUUACAAACUUCACCCUCCAUUAUGUUACUUGCUCGUUGGCACUCCAAUCCUGCAAUUUAGACCUGCAAUUUAAAGAACCAUCCGGAGUAUUUUAGCAACCUAGUUUCGAACAAGAGAUCUAGGUUUCAUGUCUUUGAUCUAAAAAAAAGAUGUGAGAAAGUAUGGAAAAACAAAAAGAUCCAACCUUGGUUUAUUCCGAUCUAAAGGCUUAACAUGCGCCUCGCCAGCAUGGCCAUGGCAAAGUCCUCAAGGUCACGCAGACCUCAAAGAAAACUUGCCGUCGCCGUGGUAACCAUGCCAUGGUGCAGGGAGACAUGUUACGUGGUUGAAUUGGCUUCGCCAUCCGGUCCAUGGAGGUGGGCUGGGAUCCGUGGAUGUCUGGCGUCCCUAUCCCUUGUGCUCCGCGGAUGUCUGAAGUCGCCAUGCCUUGUGCUUCUGAAGUCGCCAUGACUUGCGCUCGUGUUCUUGCUGGAGGAGAAAGAAGACGUAGAGGCGCCGUUAGGGUUAGCAUUGGAGAUGAGGGGAUGGGCGA
rnacentral:lncRNA from 1 species